AUCUAUGGCCAUGCUACCCUGAACAAGCCCAAUCCCAUCUGAUCUCCGAAGCUAAGCAGCGUUGGGACUGGUUAGUAUUUGGAUUAGAGACCACCUAAGAAAACCAAGUGCUGUAGGUA
ensembl:rRNA 5S_rRNA 5S ribosomal RNA